rnacentral:rRNA from 1 species
GAUUAAGUUAUUAAGGGCGCACGGUGGAUGCCUUGGCACUAGAAGCCGAUGAAGGACGUUACUAACGACGAUAUGCUUUGGGGAGCUGUAAGUAAGCUUUGAUCCAGAGAUUUCCGAAUGGGGAAACCCAGCAUGAGUUAUGUCAUGUUAUCGAUAUGUGAAUACAUAGCAUAUCAGAAGGCACACCCGGAGAACUGAAACAUCUUAGUACCCGGAGGAAGAGAAAGAAAAUUCGAUUCCCUUAGUAGCGGCGAGCGAAACGGGAAGAGCCCAAACCAACAAGCUUGCUUGUUGGGGUUGUAGGACACUCUAUACGGAGUUACAAAGGACGACAUUAGACGAAUCAUCUG